rnacentral:rRNA from 1 species
GAUGAACGCUAGCUACAGGCUUAACACAUGCAAGUCGAGGGACCGGCGCACGGGUGAGUAACGCGUAUCCAACCUUCCCAUUACUGUGGGAUAACCUGCCGAAAGGCAGACUAAUACCGCCUGGUAAUGGAUGGGGAUGCGUUUGAUUAGCUUGUUGGCGGGGUAACGGCCCACCAAGGCGACGAUCAGUAGGGGUUCUGAGAGGAAGGGCCCCCAGAAUGGAACUGAGACACGGUCUAAUCUCGUACGGGAGGCAGCAGUGAGGAAUAUUGGUCAAUGGGCGAGAGCCUGAACCAGCCAAGUAGCGUGCAGGAUGACGGCCUAUGGGUUGUAAACUGCUUUUGUAUGGGGAUAGUUACCAUACGAAGAAGGACCGGCUAAUUCCGUGCCAGCAGCCGCGGUAAUUC